rnacentral:tRNA from 1 species
GAGGGUAUAGCUCAGUGGUAGAGCACGUGCUUAGCAUGCAUGAGGUCCUGGAUUCAAUCACUGGUGCCUCCA